rnacentral:rRNA from 1 species
GACGAACGCUGGCGGCGUGCUUAACACAUGCAAGUCGAACGGAAAGGCCCUGCUUGCAGGGUACUCGAGUGGCGAACGGGUGAGUAACACGUGGGGGAUCUGCCCUGCACUUCGGGAUAAGCCUGGGAAACUGGGUCUAAUACCGGAUAGGAGCCAUUUUUAGUGUGAUGGUUGGAAAGUUUUUUCGGUGUAGGAUGAGCUCGCGGCCUAUCAGCUUGUUGGUGGGGUAAUGGCCUACCAAGGCGGCGACGGGUAGCCGGCCUGAGAGGGUGGACGGCCACAUUGGGACUGAGAUACGGCCCAGACUCCUACGGGAGGCAGCAGUGGGGAAUAUUGCACAAUGGGCGCAAGCCUGAUGCAGCGACGCCGCGUGGGGGAUGACGGCCUUCGGGUUGUAAACUCCUUUCGCUAGGGACGAAGCUUUUUGUGACGGUACCUAGAUAAGAAGCACCGGCUAACUACGUG